UCCGGCUUAUCACCGGCGGUUUCUUUAGAGUGCCCAACUAAAUGAUGGCAACUAAUGACAAGGGUUGCGCUCGUUGCGGGACUUAACCCAACAUCUCACGACACGAGCUGACGACAGCCAUGCAGCACCUUCACGGCAGCCCCGAAGGGAAGCUCCAUCUCUGGAGCGGUCCACCGCAAUUCAAACCCAGGUAAGGUUUUUCGCGUUGCGUCGAAUUAAACCACAUGCUCCACCGCUUGUGCAGGCCCCCGUCAAUUUCUUUGAGUUUCAACCUUGCGGCCGUACUCCCCAGGCGGAGAACUUAUCGCGUUAGCUACGACACCGAUUCGCUAAGCAAACCGACGUCAAGUUCUCAUCGUUUACGGCGUGGACUAC
rnacentral:misc_RNA from 1 species